rnacentral:rRNA from 1 species
GAUGAACGCUGACGGCGUGCCUAAUACAUGCAAGUCGAGCGAACGGACGAGAAGCUUGCUUCUCUGAUCUUAGCGGCGGACGGGUGAGUAACACGUGGAUAACCUACCUAUAAGACUGGGAUAACUUCGGGAAACCGGAGCUAAUACCGGAUAAUAUUUUGAACCGCAUGGUUCAAAAGUGAAAGACGGUCUUGCUGUCACUUAUAGAUGGAUCCGCGCUGCAUUAGCUAGUUGGUAAGGUAACGGCUUACCAAGGCAACGAUGCAUAGCCGACCUGAGAGGGUGAUCGGCCACACUGGAACUGAGACACGGUCCAGACUCCUACGGGAGGCAGCAGUAGGGAAUCUUCCGCAAUGGGCGAAAGCCUGACGGAGCAACGCCGCGUGAGUGAUGAAGGUCUUCGGAUCGUAAAACUCUGUUAUUAGGGAAGAACAUAUGUGUAAGUAACUGUGCACAUCUUGACGGUACCUAAUCAGAAAGCCACGGCUAACUACGUGCCAGCAGCCGCGGUAAUACGUAGGUGGCAAGCGUUAUCCGGAAUUAUUGGGCGUAAAGCGCGCGUAGGCGGUUUUUUAAGUCUGAUGUGAAAGCCCACGGCUCAACCGUGGAGGGUCAUUGGAAACUGGAAAACUUGAGUGCAGAAGAGGAAAGUGGAAUUCCAUGUGUAGCGGUGAAAUGCGCAGAGAUAUGGAGGAACACCAGUGGCGAAGGCGACUUUCUGGUCUGUAACUGACGCUGAUGUGCGAAAGCGUGGGGAUCAAACAGGAUUAGAUACCCUGGUAGUCCACGCCGUAAACGAUGAGUGCUAAGUGUUAGGGGGUUUCCGCCCCUUAGUGCUGCAGCUAACGCAUUAAGCACUCCGCCUGGGGAGUACGACCGCAAGGUUGAAACUCAAAGGAAUUGACGGGGACCCGCACAAGCGGUGGAGCAUGUGGUUUAAUUCGAAGCAACGCGAAGAACCUUACCAAAUCUUGACAUCCUUUGACAACUCUAGAGAUAGAGCCUUCCCCUUCGGGGGGGCAAAGUGACAGGUGGUGCAUGGUUGUCGUCAGCUCGUGUCGUGAGAUGUUGGGUUAAGUCCCGCAACGAGCGCAACCCUUAAGCUUAGUUGCCAUCAUUAAGUUGGGCACUCUAAGUUGACUGCCGGUGACAAACCGGAGGAAGGUGGGGAUGACGUCAAAUCAUCAUGCCCCUUAUGAUUUGGGCUACACACGUGCUACAAUGGACAAUACAAAGGGCAGCGAAACCGCGAGGUCAAGCAAAUCCCAUAAAGUUGUUCUCAGUUCGGAUUGUAGUCUGCAACUCGACUACAUGAAGCUGGAAUCGCUAGUAAUCGUAGAUCAGCAUGCUACGGUGAAUACGUUCCCGGGUCU